ACAUCAGCUUCCCCCAGGCUCAGCUUUACACCACACACUCCAAAAUGCAUCUGCCAGAGCUCUCCCCAUUGGAGUGAGCACCAUUCCCUGCCAUCACUCCUCCUGUGUCCCCAAGGUUCUUUAUCCCUUUUUAAACCUUGUUCCUUCCCUUCAGACCCAUGAAGGAGCCUCCAGCCAGGCAGAUACCACAUCAGCAAAAAAAAAUAAAAAUCUUUCAUUCUCUUUUUAUUGAUGGAAAAAUGUUCUUGCAUCUUCUCAGUGGGAUAUAAAAAGCUCAAGUGCCCAUCAUGCCACCAAGGCUACAUACCCACCCACAACCCAGUGGCCAUCAGAGCCUGUGAAAUCAACUUGUCAAAUGAAGGAACAUUUUAAGGACCAGCAGUUUACUAUGCAAAACCUGCAAAUUUUUGAGCAGUGAAGAGUUACCAUUGUUUUUUAAGCAGUAAUGCGGGCAUUUUUAG